rnacentral:lncRNA from 1 species
AGCAGUUGUUUAAAAGUUCACCUGUUAAUUGAUAAAUCAUGGAUGUUUUUUUUUUUUUUUCAAAGAUGCAUCAGUAGUUCAGUGAAUAGCAGCAUACUUUUAUGUCAGUAGGAGCCCUUGAUUUUCCUGUAUGGUAGGAUUCUGCCUUAUGUUCAUUGGUGAAAACCUAUCAGCAAUUGUCAAGAUAAAGAACAGGGGUAAAUGUACAGUUCCUUAGUAAAAUAUAUUGUCAUUCAAUUGUAGUGUAUGGGAUAGUCAGCACCAAAUACCUCCAACAGGCCAUUUAAGCAACCAAAAAUCAAUCAAUCAACCAAAAGUACCACUAAAAAAAAUUAGGACUGAGAUACAAAGAAAACAAUUGUCCAGACCUUUUACUAAAAAAAUAUCUUGUAAGUUGAAACACUUCUUACUUUGCUUAAAUCUUGAUCAUGCAGUGAAAUGAAAAAAGGUCAAAGGAGUAAAAACAAAAACGCAAUUUUAGAAAACCAUUACGCUACAAAAGUGUAAUUUUAAUUACAUAAAAAAAGAAGAAGAAAAAACAAAGUGCAAUUAAAAUAAUACUAAGUGAAAUUAUAUCCCAAAAAUGCUUACAGUUACUGAAAUCAACUCAAAAGAAGAUAAUGUUAGUAUUAUAAAUGAACAA